rnacentral:rRNA from 1 species
UACGUAGGGUGCAAGCGUUGUCCGGAAUUAUUGGGCGUAAAGAGCUCGUAGGCGGUCUGUCGCGUCUGCUGUGAAAACUCAGGGCUUAACCCUGAGCUUGCAGUGGGUACGGGCAGACUAGAGUGCGGUAGGGGAGACUGGAAUUCCUGGUGUAGCGGUGAAAUGCGCAGAUAUCAGGAGGAACACCGGUGGCGAAGGCGGCAUCCUGGACCGGCAUUGACGCUGAGGCGCGAAAGCUAGGGGAGCAAACGGG